rnacentral:lncRNA from 7 species
GAAAUGAGCAAAGUUAAGUCUGCAUGAAGCCUGCCGGAGUUCUGAACCUCAGUUGCAUAAGGAUAGAGCAGACUGAUCUGGAAUCCAGGCUGACAACAAAAAGACUAUGGAGUCUGGAAAGAAGAAAAUGAACCAUGCUGCUUGAGUAGGUUGACCUGACUGAAAGCACAUUCAGAGAGAGAACACUCUGAGGAAGCCAGUGCUAUUUUUCCUGUAGUGAAGAUUCCUAUUUAAUCUGCCAGAAGUAACUGGGCUCACUGUACUUUUAUUUUGCAUGACGAUGAGUCACCGAGAUGGACUGGAUACUGUUUUUGUUUUUGGUAGCUAUGUGUGCUUGUCUGUUCUUCAUACACCACCUGAUACCUGAGUAUCUGUUCAUUCUUAUCAAAAAGUGUGUGUUUAAAUACAAAUGUAACUGGAGCUGAUAUAGGACUUAAUAUUGGUUCUGAGCCAAGAGGACCUAGUAGAAGGUCUUCACAACUACCAGGCAGCAUUCAGUGAAUAUGGUAGAGGUGUGAUGACAUUGAAGGAUGUUUCUCAUUUGAGACACAACUGUGGAGUAAGACGUUUUUUUCUUGGAUGAGAAACAGUACAACUCAGUAGAAAAUUCCUUAUGGCCUUGAUCACUAAAUAGCCAAAACCCUGGAAUCACAUCUUUUCUUGGACAUCACAGUACGAUAGCACCCUUGUCAGACAGCAUAUCCUACGUAAAAAUAGGAAAGAAAAUAAGCCUACAGAGAAGUUGUGAAUACUUCUCAAAUAUAUUUCACUGCUCAGUCAUUUGAAACAGGUGGCAGUGAAGAAAUGAACAGUCUCACUAACACAGAAAGUCUCCCUGGAUCCAAUAACCUGAACACAGCACAAAUGUUAGGUGGGCACUCUGUAAUUUGUAACAGUGCGCUCCCCAAACAUUUUGUUAAACUUGGAGGUAGUUACCCUUUAACCACAGCUUUUGACCAUCUUCAUGUGAAUUAUGCGUCACUGUGGCUAUUUUCUGUUUAUAACAGAUGUGCACUCAGUAAAGUUAUAUGGCCAUUUUUUUCAUCUUUUUUAUCUCCACAGAAAUGAUAUUGGUUAAGAGCAGCUGGAUAACAGCAGAUCAGCAGUUUCUCUCUGUCAUUUUUUCUGAUCAAGUCUGAUGAAGUAGGAAAAUGUUCAAAAUGAGGAUGAGGAAAAUGUAGAGACAAAAUGUAUACUGACCUUUAGUGGAUGCAGGUAAAAAUCCUUUGUGUUUCAAACACUCACUGAAUAGGAAUUGGGUCAUUGCCAGUGUACAAGCUUGCAGCUAAUUUGUGCAGUUUGUUCUUAUUUGUAAGUGCUUCAAAAUGCUGCAGAUCCAUAAUGUGUUUCUCUGGGUUUACACAGAAUUGCAUAUACUUAUUUUGUUUUGUGAAGACUUUUCUAAUAAGAUUAAUCUGUACUGUACUAAAAAAAUUGCCACCACUGAUAGGGGUGCGCAUGGAUUAAGGGCUAAGGGAGUAUUUUGUGUCUCUUGUGGAGAGUAUUAACCCAUCAAACUUAUAACUUCAAUCAAACGUUUCUUGAAUUUAGAGGGAUUUGAAUCUCAGAGUUUGAUAUGCAGUAAUGUUGACAGAUACUAUAAUUACUCACAGUUUAUUUUUGAGUAGUAAUAUAUUACAAAUAACAUUCAUUCUGGAAUGACCAGGCCAAAGGGAAACAUUGUUACAGCAAAAUCCACAGUUAAAUCAUAAUUUUUUUCUACCUUUUGUGGUCUAAUGAAAUUUACUAUACAAAAGGCUAAAUAAAUAUGAUAAAAUCUUAAUCUAGUAGCUUUUAGGUUACAGCACUCCAGUACAAAAUUGUUAAGAAAGAAAUGCUACUAGUGCCUUUGUUGUGACAGUUCAAUUAAUAGGUGGUUUCAACUCUAGAGCCAAUAAUCUCAGAUGCUUUACAAGUAAAGUUAUAUAAAUUCCU